rnacentral:tRNA from 2 species
GGGGGUAUAGCUCAGGGGUAGAGCAUUUGACUGCAGAUCAAGAGGUCCCCGGUUCAAAUCCGGAUGCCCCCU